AUGGUGGGCCUUUUUCUACCAUCUUCUUCCACGCAUGAAACAGCCAGCUUGACCAUCAUUCUUGCUUGCAAGUUAUCGAACUGGCUGUUCAACCUCAAGUCAAUGAAGUCAGCCACCCAUAACUGUUGGCUGCCCUCCAGCUCCAGCAUCAGAUUUUCUGUAAGCAUCCUAACAACCCUUCCAAGGACUGUCUCCACUUCCUCGUCGGCAUUUGAUGCCCAGUCUGAAACACGAGCCCCCUUGAGUAGUUCUAGGAGAACCACUCCGAAGCUGUAG
rnacentral:rRNA from 1 species